ensembl:lncRNA
CUUCCAGGGAGGUCAGUGAGGUUUGCAUCAAUUUCUGGCAUAGAGGUGCUAAGGAGCAACAGGAGGCACUUCACCCAUAGUACUGCAGGGCCCCAGGCACUAAGCACACAGUGGUGAGGAGAGUGAUCUGUGGGAAGGCAGUGGAGAACAGCAGCACUCUCAAGAAAUUGAUCUUCAUUUGCACUACAAAGGAAAGGAUGAAGCUCAGAGCCUGCACCAUCUUCAGGAAGAAACAUGUUCCCCUCUGGUAAAAAGAAGCUCUCCCCAUCCAAGUAGGUGAAAAAUUCACCUCCUUGAAAUGAAAAGUGAAUUCCAAUAUUUUCUCUCUUCCUUUAGCUGUCUUUUGUUUAUUGUAAGAUUCCCCACUGUAGUAGAGGAUGGGGACUCACUCAUAUGAUUUUUAGAUAUCAAAAUAUACCUAUGAUAUCCAGUUUUCAAAGGUUCUGUGCUAUAAUUAUGUAAAUCUUCUGCACAGACACACUUUGUCUCCUAAGUUAUUUAUAACCCCAGGAGCUACCAAUCAGUCAGUCUCACCUCAAAAGAGGUGGGAAAGAUCAUGGAGCAUCCUGGAAGCUAUGCCAAGACACAUGGAAGACGGAGGUGAUACAGGAGAACCAGCAUGACUACACCAAGGGCAAAUCUUGUUUGACCAACCUAGUGGCCUUUUACGAUGGUAUCACUGCAUCAAUGGACAAGGGAAGAGACACUGAUGUCAUCUAUCUGGACUUCAGUAAGGCCUAUGACAUGUUAUGUCACAAUCUCCUUCUCUCCAAGUUGGAAAUAUGGAUUUGAUGGGUGGACUGUUCGAUGGAUGAGGAACUGGCUGCAGGAUCAAGUCUUGAGAGUGGUGGUCAGUGGCUCAGUGUCUGGAUGGAGACCAGUGACGAGCGGUGUCCCUCAGGAGUUGGUCCUGAGACUGAUACUCUUAGAUCUUCAUUAGUGACAUUGACAGUGGGGUUGAGUGCAUGAUCAGCAAGUCUGUGGAUAACACGAAGCUGUGGGACGCAAUCAGCAUGCUCAAGAGAUGGAAUGUCAUACAGUUGGACCUAGACAGGCUUGAGUAGUGGACCCAGGUGAACCUCAUGAGGUUCAUCAAAUCCAAGUUCAAGGUCUUGCACCUGGGUUGUGGCAACCCCCAUUACCAAUACAAACUGGAGGAUGAAAGGAUUGAAUACAGCGCUGCCGAUAAGGACCUGAGGGUACUGGUGGAUGGGAAGCUGGACAUGAGCCAGCAAUGUCCCUUGCAGCUCAGAAAGAUAACCAUAUCCUGAUCAAAAGAAGCAUGGCCAGCAGGUCAAGCAAGGUGAUCCUGCCCCUCUAGUCUGUGCUGGUGAGACCUCACCUGGAGUAUUGUGUCCAGAUGUGGUGUUGUCAGUACAGGAGAAAUAUAGAGCUGUUGCAGCGUGUCCAGAGGAAGGCCACAAAAAUGGUCCAAGGGAUGGACCACCUCUCCUAUGAGUACAAGGUGAAAGAACUGGGGCUGUUCAGCCUGGAGAAGAGAAGGCUUCUCUUGAUAGAAACCUUUCAGAAUCCAAAGUGGAGUUACAGGAAAGAAGGGGACAGACUCUUUAGCAGAGUCUGUUGUGAUCAGACAAAGGGAGAUUGUUUCAAGCUUGAAGAGGGUAGAUUUAGGUUAGAUAUAAAGAAAGUCUUCUGCAGGAAGGGUGGUGCCCCAUCUCUGGGGACUUUCAAGGUCAGAUUGGGCAGAGCUCUGAGCAAACAGAUCUAACUGGGGGUGUCCCUGUAUGUUGCAGGAGAGUUGGACUAGAUGGACGUUAAGGUACCUUCCAGCUCUAAAGAUUCUAUGUUUCUAUCAUUCUAUGAUUCAAUUUGUAUCUGGUGCUGACUACAAAUGAGUUUAUGUGAACAAUAAGGUAAUAGCCAAAUGAACUUGCUCUGAUUGACUUUUGAUUGCACCAAAACCUUGGUUAAUCUCACUGGCUACUACUCCAUCACUAGCAUCAAUGAGGGAAAUGAGAGGACCAUAAUUAUCAGAGGGGACCAAAAACAGGAUCUAUCAAAGACAGCUGCCUCCUGUCCCUUUGGCAGCAUCUGCUUGAGCAGUGCUUUUUUUUUUUUUUUUUUUUUCCUGGUGUUUUCUAUGGUGUUUUCUCUUUUCACCUUUAUUCCUUAACAAUCUAUAUUAAAGCUCGUACUUUUAUAACAAAAUUUGAUUUUUGGGUUUACCUGGCUGGCUCUGAUAUUGCAAGAUUUUUAGAGACAAAUAUUAAUUAGAAAAUUUUGCUUUGAGAAGAGUUGGGCUGACUAAGCAAUCUACAUAGGUCUCUGUGAACCUUAACUAUUCUGUGGUUCUGUAAAAGAUCAGCAAUUUAUAAUCUUCUGUGUUUAGAGAAGAACUUAAAAACAUUAACUAAUAAAUCUACGAAUGUUUCAUAGAUCACAGCUUGUCAACCAGUAUAUAUUGAUUUGUUUUAGCAGAUUUCAUGUCCAUCAAGCCUUGCACCAAUCUAGUCUAGUUCUUUCAUCCUUCCUGCCAGUUAUCACAAAAUGUGAAGACAUUUGCCUUACUAGAGCUUGAAAGGUGUUAGGAAUAAUGUAGUCAGCCUUGACCUAUAUCAAGAAUUAGUUGCUAGUAGUGUGUUCCUGCAUAUGCAGUAUAAUAACUUGAAAAACAGCACAAUAUAACCCUUUUAUAAAAAGGAGUAGCAAACUAGACUGGAAUAAUUUCAGAUUUUCUGUUUAUUUCCAGGGUGGUUUAAAAAGAUAAAAAGGCCCAUUCUCUCAAGACUGCAGAUAUUUCCUUUCAAAAUUUAAGAUUUCAGACAUAUGAUUCAUUAUUUCCCUGCUCACAAGAGGCACCUAAAUAACUUCAUGUGCAGCCAUAAAAUAAAGGACCCAAAAAUAAAAUAUGAAACAGGAAUGAGAACAUUUGUGAAAUGAGACCUUCCAACUAGUUUCAAAAGGUAACUGGCUCAAGUUCUGUCUGUUAAUACAAUUUUAUUUCAGGGUUAGCUUCUGCUGGUUCAGUGUAUGGUGUCUGUCUUUCUGGUAAAAUAAGAAAGAAAAAUAUCUGUCAGGCUUUUGAGAUCUUCUAGAGAUGGAACCCUCUAAAUGAGAAGUACAUUUUAGGUGUUACAUGUAAUUAAAUAAUUUAUACCAUUUACAUCCUCUUGUCCUAGUCAAAUUCCAAUUAAGCUAAUUAAUUUUUGCUUCUAACAAUCUCCAGUUUCCA